UCUCUCUCUCUGUUUCUCAGCUCACCCUCAUAUCACAACCACCAGUCACCACCACCUACUGCCAUCGCCACCACCCACCCCACCGACCAUCAUCAUCUUCGCACAAACACCACCUGUUGUCAUCGCCACCACCUACCCUGUCACCACCGUUGCUAAAACCCAACAUCACCACCACUACCAGCCCUCCUUCAACCACAUAGCAGUUGAUCUGUUGGAGAUCAAACAGAUCAGACCCGACGACACCACCACUACAGAGACCAAACAGAUCGGACCCAAACUUACUCUGUUACCGCCGUCGUAAAUUACCAAAGAAGACAACGAGUUUGAAUAAUUCUUAGCUAAAUUAAGCAAAACUAAAGCAAAAAUUGACCAGCAAAUCUUCAAUUCGAGCUCGUGAAGGUUCAGAUCAUUUUUCUCCCAACCGAAAAGCCAAUCAUGGUGGAGACUUGCGGGAUCAGCUAUUAUGAAGUUAGUUGCGGUCGGUCUUGUAACGGAGAAAGGAAAUCUUGGAGGGCUGAAGUGUAACAGUGUUGUUUCUGUAAAGUGCAUAGAUUAAGUAAGACUUCUUCAACUUAUUGUUAUCAAUAUCUAGUGAUGAUGUGUACUUCUGUUACAAAUUUUUUUAUUGUUGUUGUUUUUUUUUGGGUAAAGGGUUACCCCGGUGAAUUUUAUAUUGUUGUUGUUCAUGAUAAUGGUUAUAAGGUUUUUACCUUGCUACCUUACAAGUGCUGUAAUCUGCUGAUAACUAGGUUUUAUAUAAAUCUGAUGCAGAUAAUCUUUUGUCCCUGCAUGACUAAGAGUUGACUCUUAUGUUGUAAAAGUGAUUUUCUAAUUGGUUGCUGGAUAGUAGAUGGGGCUGUUUCGACCCGUUUACCUGUGAAUGUACCAACUUGGGUUAAUUUUGCCGGUUAUCUCGUUGCAGUUAGGGCAUUUUGUAUAAAGUUUUUUAAACAUG
rnacentral:lncRNA from 1 species